rnacentral:rRNA from 1 species
CCCUUAGAUGUUCUGGGCCGCACGCGCGCUACAAUGAUGAAUUCAACGAGUUUAUAACCUUGGUUGAAAAGCCUGGGUAAUCUUUUGAACUUUCGUCGUGAUGGGGCUAGACCCUUGCAAUUAUUGGUCUCCAACGAGGAAUUCCUAGUAAACGCAAGUCAUCAGCUUGCAUUGAUUACGUCCCUGCCCUUUGUACACAUUGCCCGUCGCACCUACCGAUUGAAUGGUCCGGUGAAGCCUCGGGAUUGUGGUUCUUGCCGCUUUAUUGUGGCGUGACCGCGAGAACUUGUCUAAACCUUAUCAUCUAGAGGAAGGUGAAGUCGUAACA